GAUUUCUGAGGAACCGAAGUGGCCCGUUUCCUUUACGGUGAUGAGUGCCGCUUUAAGUUCUUCAUCCUUCCAGAGAGCGCGUCUACCGUUUAUUCGGCCGGACGUUGCGAUCUGGAUCUAUUACUUUGAAAAAAUUAGAGUGUUUAAAGCAAGCUUAUGCAUUUGAAUACAUUAGCAUGGAAUAAUAAUUUAGGACUUUGGUUCUAUUUUGUUGGUUUCUAGGACUGAAGUAAUGAUUGAUAGGGAUAGUUGGGGGUGCUAGUAUUCCACGGCCAGAGGUGAAAUUCUUGGAUUCGUGGAAGACUAACUACUGCGAAAGCAUU
rnacentral:rRNA from 1 species